rnacentral:rRNA from 1 species
UAGUGGAAGCGUCUGGAAAGGCGCGCGAUACAGGGUGACAGCCCCGUACACAAAAAUGCACAUGCUGUGAGCUCGAUGAGUAGGGCGGGACACGUGGUAUCCUGUCUGAAUAUGGGGGGACCAUCCUCCAAGGCUAAAUACUCCUGACUGACCGAUAGUGAACCAGUACCGUGAGGGAAAGGCGAAAAGAACCCCGGCGAGGGGAGUGAAAAAGAACCUGAAACCGUGUACGUACAAGCAGUGGGAGCACGCUUAGGCGUGUGACUGCGUACCUUUUGUAUAAUGGGUCAGCGACUUAUAUUCUGUAGCAAGGUUAACCGAAUAGGGGAGCCGAAGGGAAACCGAGUCUUAACUGGGCGUUAAGUUGCAGGGUAUAGACCCGAAACCCGGUGAUCUAGCCAUGGGCAGGUUGAAGGUUGGGUAACACUAACUGGAGGACCGAACCGACUAAUGUUGAAAAAUUAGCGGAUGACUUGUGGCUGGGGGUGAAAGGCCAAUCAAACCGGGAGAUAGCUGGUUCUCCCCGAAAGCUAUUUAGGUAGCGCCUCGUGAAUUCAUCUCCGGGGGUAGAGCACUGUUUCGGCAAGGGGGUCAUCCCGACUUACCAACCCGAUGCAAACUGCGAAUACCGGAGAAUGUUAUCACGGGAGACACACGGCGGGUGCUAACGUCCGUCGUGAAGAGGGAAACAACCCAGACCGCCAGCUAAGGUCCCAAAGUCAUGGUUAAGUGGGAAACGAUGUGGGAAGGCCCAGACAGCCAGGAUGUUGGCUUAGAAGCAGCCAUCAUUUAAAGAAAGCGUAAUAGCUCACUGGUCGAGUCGGCCUGCGCGGAAGAUGUAACGGGGCUAAACCAUGCAC